AUUGAACGCUGGCGGCAUGCUUUACACAUGCAAGUCGAACGGUAACAGGGAGCUUGCUCCGCUGACGAGUGGCGAACGGGUGAGUAAUGCAUCGGAACGUACCGUGUAAUGGGGGAUAACGUAGCGAAAGUUACGCUAAUACCGCAUACGCCCUGAGGGGGAAAGUGGGGGACCGCAAGGCCUCACGUUAUACGAGCGGCCGAUGUCGGAUGAGCUAGUUGGUGGGGUAAAGGCCUACCAAGGCGACGAUCCGUAGCGGGUCUGAGAGGAUGAUCCGCCACACUGGGACUGAGACACGGCCCAGACUCCUACGGGAGACAGCAGUGGGGAAUUUUGGACAAUGGGGGCAACCCUGAUCCAGCCAUGCCGCGUGAGUGAAGAAGGCCUUCGGGCUGUAAAGCUCUUUCAGGUGGAAAGAAAUCUCCCGGGUGAAUACCCUGGGAGGAUGACGGUACCAUCAGAAGAAGCACCGGCUAACUACGUGCCAGCCGCCGCUGUAAUAC
rnacentral:rRNA from 1 species